GACGGAGGAUGCAAGCGUUAUCCGGAAUGAUUGGGCGUAAAGCGUCCGCAGGUGGCAGUUCAAGUCUGCUGUCAAAGACCGGGGCUUAACUUCGGAAAGGCAGUGGAAACUGAACAGCUAGAGUAUGGUAGGGGCAGAGGGAAUUCCUGGUGUAGCGGUGAAAUGCGUAGAGAUCAGGAAGAACAUCGGUGGCGAAAGCGCUCUGCUGGACCUUAACUGACACUGAGGGACGAAAGCUAGGGGAGCGAAUGGG
rnacentral:rRNA from 1 species